rnacentral:rRNA from 1 species
UACGUAGGAGGCAAGCGUUGUUCGGAAUUACUGGGCGUAAAGGGCUCGUAGGCGGCCAACUAAGUCAGACGUGAAAUCCCUCGGCUUAACCGGGGAACUGCGUCUGAUACUGGGUGGCUUGAGUUUGGGAGAGGGAUGCGGAAUUCCUGGUGUAGCGGUGAAAUGCGCAGAUAUCAGGAGGAACACCGGUGGCGAAGGCGGAUCUCUGGGCCAUUACUGACGCUGAGGAGCGAAAGCGUGGGGAGCGAACAGG